CUUAACUAAGUUAAGAAACAUAUUCUUAAACAAGCUAACAACUCAACCACUGGUUGUAGUUGAUUGGAUGUGACACGUGUAUAGAUUUUUCAAUAAUGCUACAUUGAUAACAAUUCAAACUCAAUACCAUUCAUAACACCUCACAGACAUGUGGGGUCUACACACCAGUGCAUGUGGGCUCCACAUGUAUGUGAGGGGUUGUAAAUGAUGUUGUGUUUGGAUUGUUGUGUAGAUUUUUGUUUUGGAGAACAACCUAUCAUGGUAGAGUAAUUAUUUAGUGAUUUUGUGCACCUCGCGUCCCUCAUGCAUUAUACAUUUGUAUAAGGUUCAUACACUUAGUUCUGAAUCCUACAAAAAUAUGUGAUUUAGAUAGAAAUUAGAGCGAGUGCAUAAAAUGAAGAAUUAUGCUACCUACGAUUUGUCACUAGACUUGCACUUCUUGGAGAAAAUAACGAAGGCAUAAGUAAAGAAAAAAAGAGAGGAAAUUAUAGAAGAAACAAAAAGAAUUGAUUUUCACACUCUGUUUUCCUCCAAAUGAACCUCUCUCUUUUUUAGUGAUGUAAAAUUUCAUGAUUACCCUUUUCAUGUGUGAAGGAAAAAAUGCAUGAAGGGUAGUUUACUAGUUUUGUAAUUUUACAUGGAUAAAGACAAGAAAUAGAGUGCACUUGGACAAAAAAGGAGUAUGAAAAUCAAUUUAAAAAAAGAGAGAAAGAAUAGUGGAGUACAAUUCGCCCCAACCCCUAUAAAUAGAAGCCCAAGGCACAUAUUCUAAAACAUGGAAGGAGAGCAUCAUAAAGCAUAUGGCAUUUAUAUACAACAAGGGAGAAGAUUACCAAGCAAGAAUACCAUGGUGGAAACAUUUCAGGGUAUGAAGGUUAAAGAACGCGUGGAAUACUCAUUUAAGCAAGAAAACAAACUUAAAUAGUGAUUUAGAAGAAGGAUGAGGUUAGAUGGUCUUAGGGCCUCGACCUCGAACCUUCACCAUGGCUAGGUCAUGGCCAUUAAACACUUGUUGGUUCUUAGGGCCUCGACAUCGAACCUUCGCCAUGUUUAGAUCCGUGAAAAUAAUAGCUGAUGUCUGAUUCAAUUACUUAGAUGCUAGCUAAGUUUUUGUGAUGUAUGCUGAUCUAAGUGUAUGCAUGCGUGAAAAUACUAGCUGAUGUCUGAUCCAAUUACUUAGAUGCUAGCUAAGUUUUUGUGAUGCAUGCUGAUCUAAGUGUAUGCAUGCGUUCAGAAGGCAAUAUAUAUGCUCAAGUUUAAUCUAAAA